UUUCAGUAACUGACUGCUGCAAGCAGAGCAGAGGCAGUCUCAGGGCCAGGCUGAGACUUGGGGACAUCCAUCACUGGUGACUUCAAAGAGGAUUCUGGUUGCCUUUUUCUAGUAGAUAAAGCAGGGCCACAGGCUGUGUCUGAGUGCCAGCCUGUGACCACCUGUGCUCUCUAACAGAAAAUGAAGAGCUUGCCCUCAUCAGCUGGCUUUGGACCCAAACACAUCCUGGACCCAAGCAAAUGAGCUCUGCAAAGGGACUGAGUGGCAGCAGAACUGUGGACUUCCCCUCCUUGUGUGUGGACCACCAGCUGACAUGUAGUAGUUGCUGAGUCGAGAUGCCCUCAGAGGCAAUGGGCCCUUGCCCAGUGGGGGUACCACACAGAAAGGUGCCAUCGGGUCUCGGGACUGUCCCUCCCUGCUGCACUGGGUGCUCCCUGCCAUGCCAUGUUGGGCCAAGUGGCACCAGCACAUCUGCCAAGCUGUCAGCAUGCCCUCUGCAGGCUGCUCCACAGCAGUAACCUGGAGGUGAAGACAAGACAAGUGGCUGGGGUGACAGCCCCAAGACAAACCAGCCCCAGGGGCUGCCCUCUGUUCCAAGCUGAAUCUCGCCCUUUGUCCACCCAUCCUGGACACAAACAGGCUUGUCUUGCCCAUCUCUGUUUCUCACACCAUUGGGUCACAGAUGUGUUUAUUGUGGGCAGUGGCAAGGAAACAAGGCUCCAUUUACAGCCCCGUUUCCUCCUCUCCUGUUUGCUAUAACAGCCCAAGGUAUUCAGGGGCUGAGGCAGCACAGUGCUCGCUCACACCUUUGUCCUCCCCAGGCAGCAGAGCACACACCACAGCUGGAAGGACUUGUGCUAUGUGGUGCCAGUAAUUGUGCCUCCCUGGGAAAGCCUCUCCCACUGUCCCCCAGCAACUGGAAGGACUGAACACAACAAUUAUUUGUCUCUUACUUCUCUGUUAUAAAGUGUUUUAAACAAGAA